rnacentral:rRNA from 1 species
AUACGAAGGGGGCAAGCGUUGUUCGGAAUAACUGGGCGUAAAGCGCACGUAGGCGGAUUGAUACGUUAGAGGUGAAAUCCCAGGGCUCAACCCUGGAACUGCCUUUAAUACUGUUAGUCUAGAGAUCGAGAGAGGUGAGUGGAAUUCCGAGUGUAGAGGUGAAAUUCGUAGAUAUUCGGAGGAACACCAGUGGCGAAGGCGGCUCACUGGCUCGAUACUGACGCUGAGGUGCGAAAGCGUGGGGAGCAAACAGGAUUAGAAACCCUAGUAGUCC